CACGUAGGGUGCGAGCGUUGUCCGGAAUUAUUGGGCGUAAAGAGCUCGUAGGCGGUGUGUCGCGUCGGCCGUGAAAACCUGCAGCUUAACUGUGGGCUGCGGUCGAUACGGGCAUCACUGGAGUUCGGCAAGGGAGACUGGAAUUCCUGGUGUAGCGGUGAAAUGCGCAGAUAUCCAGGAGGAACACCGGUGGCGAAGGCGGGUCUCUGGGCCGAUACUGACGCUGAGGAGCGAAAGCGUGGGGAGCGAACAGG
rnacentral:rRNA from 1 species